rnacentral:lncRNA from 1 species
GAUGAAGACAAAAUUCUGUACAUUGGAUACUCCAACCGCAGUGUUCGAACGAGAUUAUUGGUUAGUUUUCUAAAUUGGAAUGAAAAAAGCAAUGUUUCCUAUAUUCCUAUUAAUUUUACCAACUAGUUUCUUUUUUAGUAUGGGUACUUACCUUUUAAUUUAACUAUUUUGUUAUUCGAUAUAUUUCUUUCAAUGUUCAGACAUUGCUAUAUAUAUUUGAUUAAAGAUUUGACCCGUCGACAUAAUCAGGAAGCAAAAAGGC